rnacentral:rRNA from 1 species
AGUGAACGCUGGCGGUAGGCCUAACACAUGCAAGUCGAACGGCAGCACAGUAAGAGCUUGCUCUUACGGGUGGCGAGUGGCGGACGGGUGAGGAAUACAUCGGAAUCUACUUUUUCGUGGGGGAUAACGUAGGGAAACUUACGCUAAUACCGCAUACGACCUACGGGUGAAAGCAGGGGAUCUUCGGACCUUGCGCGAUUGAAUGAGCCGAUGUCGGAUUAGCUAGUUGGCGGGGUAAAGGCCCACCAAGGCGACGAUCCGUAGCUGGUCUGAGAGGAUGAUCAGCCACACUGUCACUGAGACACGGCCCAGACUCCUACGGGAGGCAGCAGUGGGGAAUAUUGGACGAUGGGCGCAAGCCUGAUCCAGCCAUACCGCGUGGGUGAAGAACGCCUUCGGCUUGUAAAGCCAUUUUGUUGGGAAAGAAAAGCAGCAGGUUAAUACCCCGCUGUUCUGACGGUACCCAAAGAAUAAGCACCGGCUAACUUCGUG